rnacentral:rRNA from 1 species
CAGCGCCCCAAGUGGGGGUCACGUUUAUUGGGCCUAAAGCGUUCGUAGCCGGUCGAGUAAAUCCUUUGUGAAAUCGUCGUGCUCAACACGACGGCGUGCAGGGGACACUGCUUGACUUGGGACCGGGAGGAGUCAGAGGUAUGUCGUGGGGACUGGUAAAAUGGGAUAAUCCACGAUGGACCACCGAUGGCGAAGGCAUCUGACCAGAACGGAUCCGACGGUGAGGAACGAAAGCCAGGGGAGCGAACCGGAUUAGAUACCCGUGUAGUCC